GGAAUCUAUCAUCAUCGAGAUCAUCUUCGAUUUCUUCAAGUUCUUCUUCAGUCUUUUCAUCGAUCCAAGACUUGUCCUUAGGGACGGUAUCCGGGUCAGGUGCAGGUUCAAAAGGGUCAGGCUUGAAAGCUGGUGGCUUUGGGGGUAAAUUCCCAAGCUUUCUUUGAAUAUCAUCCCAUUGAGUGGAAGCUCCUUCGACAUCUUUGUAAACGAAAUGGUA
rnacentral:lncRNA from 1 species